AUUGAACGCUGGCGGCAGGCUUAACACAUGCAAGUCGAGCGGGGUGAUGGUGCUUGCACUAUCACUUAGCGGCGGACGGGUGAGUAAUGCUUAGGAAUCUGCCUAUUAGUGGGGGACAACAUCUCGAAAGGGAUGCUAAUACCGCAUACGUCCUACGGGAGAAAGCAGGGGAUCACUUGUGACCUUGCGCUAAUAGAUGAGCCUAAGUCGGAUUAGCUAGUUGGUGGGGUAAAGGCCUACCAAGGCGACGAUCUGUAGCGGGUCUGAGAGGAUGAGCCGCCACACUGGGACUGAGACACGGCCCAGACUCCUACGGGAGGCAGCAGUGGGGAAUAUUGGACAAUGGGGGGAACCCUGAUCCAGCCAUGCCGCGUGUGUGAAGAAGGCCUUAUGGUUGUAAAGCACUUUAAGCGAGGAGGAGGCUCUUUUGGUUAAUACCCAAGAUGAGUGGACGUUACUCGCAGAAUAAGCACCGGCUAGCUACGUGCCAGCCGCCGCGGUAA
rnacentral:rRNA from 1 species